GACGAACGCUGGCGGCGUGCUUAACACAUGCUAGUCGAACGGAAAGGCCCUGCUUUUGUGGGGUGCUCGAGUGGCGAACGGGUGAGUAACACGUGAGUAACCUGCCCUUGACUUUGGGAUAACUUCAGGAAACUGGGGCUAAUACCGGAUAGGAGCUCCUGCUGCAUGGUGGGGGUUGGAAAGUUACGGCGGUUGGGGAUGGACUCGCGGCUUAUCAGCUUGUUGGUGGGGUAGUGGCUUACCAAGGCUUUGACGGGUAGCCGGCCUGAGAGGGUGACCGGCCACAUUGGGACUGAGAUACGGCCCAGACUCCUACGGGAGGCAGCAGUGGGGAAUAUUGCACAAUGGGCGGAAGCCUGAUGCAGCAACGCCGCGUGCGGGAUGACGGCCUUCGGGUUGUAAACCGCUUUCGCCUGUGACGAAGCGUGAGUGACGGUAAUGGGUAAAGAAGCACCGGCUAACUACGUG
rnacentral:rRNA from 1 species